UAGAUUGAGCUUGCUUUUCUUGGGCACGACCCUUGGUUCCUGUGUUGCCUUCCCAUCAUAUGGAAAAUUUCAUGAGAUAGCCCCGCCCCGCCACUUUCCUCCUUGUGGCUUUGCSGGCUACAAAGCGAACCUCGAAAGCAGUCCCCGUGUCCCCGACAUAUCCUCUGACUUUUGUUGUGGCUAUCUUGGUCCAUAGGAGAAUUGCUUGCACUCUCGGAUAUGGAAAAUUAAGCGGACAUGGGGGAUCUUGGCCUUCGGUUGCGCCAAUCAAGUCCCUCGAUAGGAAUGACUUUUGCUACCUCAUUGACUGCAGGCCCUCUAGGCCCRUGGCAUCAAUGCGGGUCCGAAGUCGAGAAAGAAUGCUACCUGGUUGA
rnacentral:misc_RNA from 1 species